rnacentral:rRNA from 1 species
AUACGUAGGGGGCGAGCGUUGUCCGGAAUUACUGGGCGUAAAGGGUGCGUAGGUGGCACUUUAAGUUGGAUGUGAAAUCCCCGUGCUUAACAUGGGAGCUGCAUCCAAUACUGGAGAGCUAGGGUGCAGGAGAGGUAAGCGGAAUUCCUAGUGUAGCGGUGAAAUGCGUAGAUAUUAGGAGGAACACCAGUGGCGAAGGCGGCUUACUGGACUGUAACUGACACUGAGGCACGAAAGCGUGGGGAGCAAACAGGAUUAGAUACCCUGGUAGUCCACGCUGUAAACGAUGAAUACUAGGUGUAGGGGGUAUCAACUCCCUCUGUGCCGCAGCAAACGCAAUAAGUAUUCCGCCUGGGGAGUACGGCCGCAAGGUUGAAACUCAAAUGAAUUGACGGGG